rnacentral:lncRNA from 10 species
CCCGUAUUAGUGAUUUUUGACUUUGAACAAAAUGAUUCUUAAUAUUUUAAUAUAUGUCUGUUAUUUUGUUAAAUCUUGGUAUAAUUUGGCCGGGUGUGGUGGCUCACACCUGUAAUUCCGGCACUUUCGGAGGCCGAGGCAGGUGGAUCAUCUGAGGCCAGGAGUUCGAAACCAGCCUGGCCAACAUGGUGAAACUCUGUCUCUACUAAAAAUACAAAAAUUAUCUGGGCAUGGUGGUGGGCGCCUGUAAUCCCAGCUACUCGGGAGGCUGAGGCAGGAGGAUUGCUUGAACCCAGAAGGCAGAGGCUGCAGUGAGCUGAGAUUGUGCCACUGCACUCUAGCCUGGUGACAAGAGCGAGACUCCAUCUA